rnacentral:rRNA from 1 species
CCCUGGCUCAGGACGAAACGCGGGCGGCGUGCCUAAUACAUGCAAGUCGAGCGGAAUGAUGAAGAAGCUUGCUUCUUCUGAUUUUAGCGGCGGACGGGUGAGUAACACGUGGGCAACCUACCUUGUAGAUUGGGAUAACUCCGGGAAACCGGGGCUAAUACCAAAUAAUCCAUUUUGCUUCAUGGCGAAAUGUUGAAAGGCGGCUUCGGCUGUCACUACGAGAUGGGCCCGCGGCGCAUUAGCUAGUUGGUAGGGUAACGGCCUACCAAGGCGACGAUGCGUAGCCGACCUGAGAGGGUGAUCGGCCACACUGGGACUGAGACACGGCCCAGACUCCUACGGGAGGCAGCAGUAGGGAAUCUUCCACAAUGGACGAAAGUCUGAUGGAGCAACGCCGCGUGAGUGAAGAAGGUUUUCGGAUCGUAAAACUCUGUUGUAAGGGAAGAACACGUACGAGAGUAACUGCUCGUACCUUGACGGUACCUUAUUAGAAAGCCACGGCUAACU